GCAUACAGAUCGGCAUCAACUUUGCCUAUAAUGUAUUUCUUUCAAAGAAGCAUCAGUAUGGCAGAAUAUUAAAAUCUAAGUCAGGCGGUGGAUUCACAGGUGAUUAUUAUAUUUGCUUCUUGAAUGUCUAAAAUAUUUCAUAAUUUUAGAAAGAGGUGGUGUCGGUGACCUGGGGCGUGCCAGCAUGGUCCCGGCACACAGCUGACAUUGGGCACAUGGCAUUGUUGUUAGGAGGCUCUUUUCCCAAUAAACGCUGUUCUGAAAUAAAACUGUUGAUUUCACUGUUGGAAUUACAUUCUGAAGUGAAGACCUAGCAGGUUGGGAAGUCUUACGAGAACCCCAAAGGGGAACUCCGAACACCUCUGCAGACGUUCUUGUUAACCAACGAGAUAAACAAGUGUGACUAAAUAAGUGUCUAUAAAUGGACUAAAACAGUGUUCUUCGUUAGAAAGAGCACUUAGCUUGGCCUCCCCGUGAAUCUUCUUUAGGCUCUUGGGCCUUCACUUUUAAAAUUCCUUUGUGAGUUAAAGAAGUGAGGAAAGGAAUACUGGAUUUCAGAGGAAUGGCAGAAUCAGGGAAAAAUAAUUCUCUGGGUCAGUAAAAACUUUGAAGUUUCCCAUUCCAUGUCCUUGGGUAUAUUUUAUAAUUUUUGACCUGUUGCAGGAGCAGUGUCAGCUGUAUUGACACACUACACUGUAAUGGUAAUGAAGGGUGUUUUUGUUACUGGAUUCUAUUCCAGUCAGUCACAGUGAGCCUACACAUUCUCUCUGCCGUGGACGUUGCCUGCGGCACCCGUAAUAGCAUAGAGAUAUUGAAUAUUUUCAUAUCAGGAUUAGCAAUUUCCCCUGUCUGUCAUGGCGACUAGAAAAAUCAGCGAAGCUGAUUUCAUUUCAUUUAGGCUUUGCAUCUCCUUUCAGAGUUACUUAUAACUUUGAUGAACAAUAAAUAAAUAAUUCUUUAAAUCUUCCAUUUGUGGUACCCCCGGAAAGUUGGCACAGGCUCUGAGAACAGGGGAGCUGCUUAUCUCCUGACGAUGCUGUGGGGUGGAAAAGAGGGCUGCACCUGCACUUAAGUAAAAAGGUCUCCCUCCUGCACUUAGGUAAAA